CAGAGGAGUGGAUAUGGGAUGAGAACUCCAGGAUGACAUUCUCUGUGCUUCUAGAGCCCAGCCCAAGCUAGACAUAACCUUGAUCCCCAAGCUUGCCAACUUAUUCCCUCUUGCCUCUUCCCCAUCCAUAGGCAAAAGAAGAUGGAGUGGAUGCCACUCUCCCUGCCCGCCUGUAACAUAUUAGUGACUGUCUUCAGUAGACGGGGAUAACUGCCUCUGAGCUCCUUUGACCAUCUAGUAGACCUCAUCGCUGGAUUACCUGGUUUCCAUUCUUUUAUUCUUCCUUGGAAGGGCUUGUCAUGCAAUGUGUCAGCCUGGAGGGAAAGGAAGACAGACGCCUUGCUAGCCAAGAGGAUCCCAGUGACUUUGCCAGCCACAAGCCCCCAGCAGCCAUGCUGAUAACUCAUCUCUGGGGGAGCAUCCAGUACCCCCAUAGCAGCCUCAGCAGGCACCCCAGAUGGUAGCUUUGUCAAGCCCCACUGUGUGACAAGAGCAUAAUCUCUCCAAAGAGAAUGUAUGUAUGUUCCUGCCUGAAAGGGAGGGCGGAGAAAUGGUCCAAACCUCUGGGACUGCACAUUCUGGCCCCAGAUAACACAGCGAGGGUCUUGGCAAGGCCUCUCCGAUUCUAAGAAAACCACAGAAGGAAACUGUUGUCCCUAGGAGAUUAGGUGAGACCAGAGACACUGAGACCAUGAGGGCCAAGAAGUUCUGGAGAAGGUGGGGUCUGAGCAAAGAGCCCAAGGCAAACAUGAACUUUAAAAAAAUUAGGUUCUGCCCACCUGGUGACACAAGCCUGUAAUCCCAAUGGAGAGGCUUGAGAAUUAAGAGCUAUAUAGUGAGACCCUGUCUCAAAAAUAGUAAAUACUUAUUUUUAUUAAGAGUAAUAGAAAAUUUUAUUUUAAAACUGGAUUCGUUCCUUUUUCUCCCCCAUGCUAGUUCUUAACCAAUGCCCACUCAAUGUGUUCCCAGAGAGACAAGUUGCUCAUUUGAGUGUCAUGAGAAACCCAGCAGUGUGAAUGCUCCCAAGGAUGGAAUUUAUUUGGAAACAAAUUACUUGAUUACUCAGGAAAAGGUGCGACAGCAACGGAAGUCCUGUCAGGAAGCAGGGGAGGCACAUUUGUUGCUAGAGAGGACACUGAGACCCGGCUGAUCUGUGUGUUAUGUUCUGGCUACCCAAUGGCCAGGUCAGGACCGCACAGCCACAUACAACGGUCCAGUGAUGACAGUUCGAGGAUCUGAUGGGAGAAACAACUAUGGAUCUAAUGGUGACUGUCUUUGUCCACAUCAAGAUGAUGAUCAAUAAUGAAGUCAACACCAAGAAAAAGCAGCCAAAGGAGGGGGCUGGAGACAUUUGUGCCCCUGGAUCCACCUGGAUCUGAAAUCCAAAACCCUGAACAUUUUAGUUACCAGAUUAAAUGCAUCUCCAUUUUGAUAGGAGUCAACUUAUUGCGUUUCUGUCAAGUCCAUAAAUUGGUUUUCACUUCUGAAUCCAGCCUCUGAUCAGACUUUAGCCUCAGGCAUGGAUUCCAGGGUCCAACAGUCCCAACUUCCACC
rnacentral:lncRNA from 1 species